rnacentral:rRNA from 1 species
AACGAGUGCCCCAAGCGUUAUCCGGAAUUACUGGGCAUAAAGGGUGCGUAGGUGGUCUGAUUAGUCGUUUGUUAAAACUCCCGGCCUAACCGGGAAGGUAUGGACGAAACGGUCAGACUAGAGAGAGUGAGAGGUUAGCAGAACUCAUGGUGUAGGGGUGAAAUCCGUUGAUAUCAUGGGGAAUACCAAAGGCGAAGGCAGCUAACUGGCGCUUAUCUGACACUCCAGCACGAAAGCGUGGGUAGCGAAUGGG